UACAGAGGGGGCAAGCGUUGUUCGGAAUUACUGGGCGUAAAGCGCACGUAGGCGGAUUUGUUAGUCAGGGGUGAAAUCCCGGGGCUCAACCUCGGAACUGCCUUUGAUACUGCAAGUCUCGAGUCCGAUAGAGGUGGGUGGAAUUCCUAGUGUAGAGGUGAAAUUCGUAGAUAUUAGGAAGAACACCGGUGGCGAAGGCGGCCCACUGGAUCGGUACUGACGCUGAGGUGCGAAAGCGUGGGGAGCAAACAGG
rnacentral:rRNA from 1 species